CCUACGGGGGGCUGCAGUGGGGAAUAUUGCACAAUGGGCGCAAGCCUGAUGCAGCCAUGCCGCGUGUGUGAAGAAGGCCUUCGGGUUGUAAAGCACUUUCAGCGGGGAGGAAGGCGGUGAGGUUAAUAACCUCAUCGAUUGACGUUACCCGCAGAAGAAGCACCGGCUAACUCCGUGCCAGCAGCCGCGGUAAUACGGAGGGUGCAAGCGUUAAUCGGAAUUACUGGGCGUAAAGCGCACGCAGGCGGUCUGUCAAGUCGGAUGUGAAAUCCCCGGGCUCAACCUGGGAACUGCAUUCGAAACUGGCAGGCUAGAGUCUUGUAGAGGGGGGUAGAAUUCCAGGUGUAGCGGUGAAAUGCGUAGAGAUCUGGAGGAAUACCGGUGGCGAAGGCGGCCCCCUGGACAAAGACUGACGCUCAGGUGCGAAAGCGUGGGGAGCAAACAGGGUUAGAUACCCCGGUAGUC
rnacentral:rRNA from 1 species